ACCAGAAAGACAUACCUGACUAAUUGAGAUUGAACUUUGGCAGGAAGCUUUUCGUUUUGUGUAAGACAUUCAUGGUUUGAUGUGUAUGGUAAAGAAAACUCCCAAGCCAUAAGUGAUGGUCAUUUAUUAUGGCAAGCUGACGGAGAUGUUCCGGGUUUCGAACUAUCAACUUUAUAAUGCAUAUGCAUGGUCCAAACUGUUCUCACGACAAAGGGUACUGCAGGAGUUGCCAUAGCUAGUGUUUU